rnacentral:rRNA from 1 species
CAUCUAGGCGGUCAAUCAAGUCGAAGGUGAAAACUUGUGGCUCAACCAUAAGCUUGCCUACGAAACUGAUUAACUAGAGUACUGGAGAGGUGGACGGAACUACACGAGUAGAGGUGAAAUUCGUAGAUAUGUGUAGGAAUGCCGAUGAUGAAGAUAGCUCACUGGACAGAAACUGACGCUGAAGUGCGAAAGCUAGGGGAGCAAACA